rfam:Camelus ferus unplaced genomic scaffold scaffold305, whole genome shotgun sequence.
GGAGGGUGCAGCUCAGUGGUAGAGUGUGCGCUUAGCACGCACGAGGUCUUGGGUUCAACCCCCAGGACCUCCA